rnacentral:rRNA from 1 species
AGUGAACGCUGGCGGUAGGCCUAACACAUGCAAGUCGAACGGCAGCACAGUAAGAGCUUGCUCUUACGGGUGGCGAGUGGCGGACGGGUGAGGAAUACAUCGGAAUCUACUUUUUCGUGGGGGAUAACGUAGGGAAACUUACGCUAAUACCGCAUACGACCUACGGGUGAAAGCAGGGGAUCUUCGGACCUUGCGCGAUUGAAUGAGCCGAUGUCGGAUUAGCUAGUUGGCGGGGUAAAGGCCCACCAAGGCGACGAUCCGUAGCUGGUCUGAGAGGAUGGUCAGCGACACUGGAACUGAGACACGGUCCAGACUCCUACGGGAGGCAGCAGUGGGGAAUAUUGGACAAUGGGCGCAAGCCUGAUCCAGCCAUACCGCGUGGGUGAAGAAGGCCUUCGGGUUGUAAAGCCCUUUUGUUGGGAAAGAAAAGCAGCAGGUUAAUACCCCGCUGUUCUGACGGUACCCAAAGAAUAAGCACCGGCUAACUUCGUG